GUGCGGGUGCGGGUGCGGGUGCGGGCGCGCUCCCCACCAGGAUGACCCAGGGCCCCGCCGGGCGCUCCUCGCCCCAGACAACCUGGGCAAGGCCCGGCCUGGGGCGCAGGGAGCGGCGGCAGGGAGUCCGGCGGGCGGGACAGGGGCGGGCCGCGCGUGUCCUUCGUCCACGCACCCGCCGCCCAUCUUCCGUCCACGCGCCCGCCCUCUGGCCACGCGCCCCCCACGUGUCGCUCGUCCUCGUCCUCGCGCCCGCCGCCCGUGCUCGUCCACGCGCCCAUCAUUCUUCCACGCGCCUGUCCUCUGUCCCCGCGCCCCCGCGUGUCCUUUGUCCCCGCGCUCGCCACGCGUCCUUCGUCCACGCGCCCAUCGUUCCUCUACGUGCCAGUCCUCCGUCCUCGCGCGCGCCCCGGGUCCUUGGUCCAGGCACGCGCGCGGGGAGCCGCGCCUCCCGCGUCCCAGAGACCCACGCGCCCUCCGGUGGCUCAGACAGGUACUGCGUCGGGUGCGUGGACGAAGGACACGCGCGGCCCGCCCCUGUCCCGCCCGCCGGACUCCCUGCCGCCGCUCCCUGCGCCCCAGGCCGGGCCUUGCCCAGGUUGUCUGGGGCGAGGAGCGCCCGGCGGGGCCCUGGGUCAUCCUGGUGGGGAGCGCGCCCGCACCCGCACCCGCACCCGCACCCGCACCCGCACGCGCCCCGGCGCCCCGGCAGCUGCCUGGUAACCGGAUUUUGGACGUUCCCGAGACGCGUGGCCCUCGCUUUUCCCCGAGUGCGUGCCCGCUUUGCACGCAGCCUUCUUAUCCCGGGGCCGAGUGAGCGCGGGCUCGCUCAGGCGGCUUUGGGGAGAAGCCGCGGUGCAUGCAGUGAGGCUGCCCUGCGGGAGAGCGCAUGGAGGGACGGCCGGACCAUCUGGGCCCUCCCUGGUGGUCGUGCUGGAGGGUUGGGGCCCGUGUGGGGAGGGCUGCCAGCUCUGAGGCCCAGCACGGUCAGGGCACGUAUGUCCACAGCCCAAGCGGCCCGCUUCCUGGAUGCCUCGGAGCCGCGAGGAAGGCUCGGGGCUGAGGGCGGGCGACCGCGCACGCUCUCAAGGAAUGGGUGCUCGCGAGCAAUCCCCCUGCAGGAGCGCUUCCUCUGGGCCAGGCCGGCCUGCUGCCCGUGGCUUCCGUGCAGCUGCAUGCGCCGCCGCGGGAAACCUGGGGAAACUGAAGGUUCAAGGAGAGACCCUGGGCGUCCUUGCAGAUACCUUCCCCGAGGUGGGGGGAGGGGGGGCAGAGGCGCGGCGGCGGGCGGGGCCUGA
rnacentral:lncRNA from 12 species